rnacentral:rRNA from 1 species
AGAUUGAACGCUGGCGGCGUGCCUAACACAUGCAAGUCGGGCGGUAACAGGCGUAGCAAUACGUGCUGACGAGCGGCGAACGGGUGAGCAAUGCUUCGGAAUCUGCCCAAUGAUGGGGAAUAACCGGUCGAAAGAUUGGCUAAUACCGCAUACGCCCUUCGGGGGAAAGCGGGGGUCGCAAGACCUCGCGUCGAUGGAUGAGCCGAAGUCGGAUUAGCUAGUGGUAGGUAACGGCCUACCAAGGCGACGAUCCGUAGCUGGUCUGAGAGGACGACCAGCCACACUGGGACUGAGACACGGCCCAGACU